UGCCAGACUCCUACGGGAGGCAGCAGUGGGGAAUAUUGCACAAUGGGGGAAACCCUGAUGCAGCGACGCCGCGUGAGUGAAGAAGUAAUUCGUUAUGUAAAGCUCUAUCAGCAGGGAAGAAAAUGACGGUACCUGAGUAAGAAGCCCCGGCUAACUACGUGCCAGCAGCCGCGGUAAUACGUAGGGGGCAAGCGUUAUCCGGAUUUACUGGGUGUAAAGGGAGCGUAGACGGUUGUGCAAGUCAGAAGUGAAAGCCCGGGGCUCAACUCCGGGACUGCUUUUGAAACUGUGAAACUGGAGUGCAGGAGAGGUAAGCGGAAUUCCUGGUGUAGCGGUGAAAUGCGUAGAUAUCAGGAGGAACACCAGUGGCGAAGGCGGCUUACUGGACUGUAACUGACGUUGAGGCUCGAAAGUGUGGGGAGCAAACAGGAUUAGAUACCCUCGUA
rnacentral:rRNA from 1 species